UGACUGAUCCAGCUGUAGUCUACUCAGCAGUGAAAGAAGAAGCUAGCACUUACAGACAAGUCAACAUCAAAGGGAAGAAGAAAAAAUCAAAGACAAUAGAGUGUGAUCAAGCUGCAGUCUACUCAGCAGUGAGAAAAGAAGACAUCAGUCCUGGACAAGAAGUCAUCAGACCAAAGAAGAGCAGAGCGUGUGAUCAAGCUGCAGUCUACUCAGCAGUGAGAAAAGAAGACAUCAGUUCUGGACUAGUAGCCUCCAGACCAAAGAAGAGCAGAGACUUUAAACCAGAGCCAGACGUCGUCUACUCUUCACUGAAGUAGUCCACCAGUCCAACCACUGACAUCCAGCUGCUGGUCUCUAACUGGUCCAUCCCAGCACCUCAGACCAGAGGACAUCCACAUGAUACAAAGAUUUUUUAUGUUGUUUUUUGUUUAUUUGCUUGCUUUUUUUAUUGUUGAGACACAUGAUUCAAAAAACAGAUCUUAUUUUAAGUGGAGUGUUAUAUACACAAUUAAAAUCCACCUUGAUAAUGUAAACAUA